AAAGGUAUAUAUAUUGGGACGAGAUUUUAAUCCGGUCGUUAAUUUCAUGAGUUAUUGUGUAGGUACUAAUGUGGUCUCUAGAAAAAGUGUAAACUGGUCCCUAUUUAAAAUCUAGUUCUGACGAAAUUUAACUAGGCGGGUAAACACUAAAUGUCUAUUUUCUCCAAAUCUAGGCGUCAAAAUGCCUAUUACUGAUUAAAAUUGUAAAAAGAAAAAAAUAAAUAAAAGACCUCUGUUUCUCAAUACUUAACGUGAAACAGAACCCUAACAAUAAUUUUUCUAACAACGAUCUUCAUAAUACAACUAUCUAAGAGCAGCUCUCAACUGAAGAUCUUUGUUUUCUCAAAAUGGAGAAAACAUAGGUCUGCCUAAAAGCCAACGCAACUGCUUGUUUCUGUCAUUCAUCUGUGUUUUUUCAGAACAAAGAAAAAUCAGGUCAACCUAGCACUGAUCUCAACUCAAUCUCCAUCUUCUAUUCAGUCGAAUCUCAGAGAAAACACAGGUCUACCCAGAAGUAGACGCAAUAGUUCGUUUCAGCCAUUCAUCUGUGUUUUUUUAAGAAUAAAGACAGUCAGGUCUACCUAGCACCGAUCUCAACUCAAUCUCCAUCUUUAUUCACUCAAGUCUCAGGUUCGAUAUGAUAACUGAAAAUGAGGAUAAAUCAAUUAUGAAGAGUACUAUUAGAUACUCAUUUGUUGCGCUCGGGGCAAUAGAAAGAGGAAGAGGACCAGGGUUUUGAAUAUAUAUGGAGUUCUUAACUGCAUGUACUAAGAGUUCAUUAUUUCACUCUAGUCAUCUUGUUAAGCAACACAUCCAAGAAGUUGAAACAAGUGCUAUUGAGAAGGGACGACAUUAACUUACCAACGUCCCAAAGUCUUCUAGUCAUGGAAAGGAAGCAAUAAAUGAGAAGUCCAAUAUGUCUCUUGAGAAAGAGUAUAUUCAAGUCAAUACUUCAUUUCAUCCAUCUACCAAGCAAGCUAAGCAAUACAUCCAUGAUGUUGAAACAAGUUAUAUUUGUAAAGGACAAGGAACUGAAAAUAAAAACACCACCAUGUCUUCUGGCGGACCUCAAACUCGUAAUCGUGUAUUUGGCUUUGGUGGUUGAGUAAAGGGAAAGGACAUGAGGGGUGACACUUCUUCAAAUACUGAGUUACUAUCUAAGCUAGCUUCAACUCAAGAGGAAAUAAAUCUUUGAAUGAGAAAAACAAAUCCUUGAAUAAUAGCUUGUCUACCUUAGAAGAUGAGAUGAGAGAACUAAGAAGAAUGCAAUAAUUCUUUGCUGCUUAACAAUCACAUAAUCCACAUACGACAUCACCUGAAUCAGUUCAAUGACCACCGACUUUUUUUUGCUGAUCAAGUAAGUAACAAUAUACCAAACUCUAUUGGUGGGUAGUUGUUUAAGUAGUUAGUGUAUGGCUGAACUCUUAGAAAACUAAUGAAGAGACGAAUGAACAAAGAGCAUAUCCAUCGUCCUUUUUGAAUAUGGAAGACACUAAAUUUAUAAUUGACAUGCUUUCCAUCAUCAUUUCUAUUGUUAUUGAUAUGCAUGUUUAAAGGAAUUAUUCACUUGUGAGGUACUUCGUUGGGUGAUUAUCUUCUCUUAACUGGUGGUUGUUUAUCUUAUUUGCGUUAUGAUUUAUGAAUACCAUACAUAUUAGUUUUUUUUUUGUUUUUUGGAUCGAUAAUGGAAAUUUGUAUUGCUUUUUGAGGAUCUGUCAUGAACAGAAUACUAAAACUUUUCCCUGUGAAGUGGAAAAAUUGAUGUUUCAGCAAAAUGAUGACCAGUUCCGUUUAGUAGAUUCUAGUAAUGAUGUUGAUUUGGUUGAUAAAACAUGGAAAUAUGAACUUGUAUAUCCACUAAAAGUAGCUGAGAGAAAAACUAAUUAGCAAGUUUCAGGUGCUCAAUUUAUGAACUAAAUCUCAUAUCUAUAUGUCCAUGAUUCGAAUUUCAACGCCAAUAUCGAUUCACUUCCGACAACGGUUGGUUUCACACUUGUAGCUCUACAGAUAGGAUUUGGAUUUCAAGAAAAACAAAAGUAUUAUACAUAGAGUUUUACUCCUAAUGGCAAUCUUCCAAUCCACAACUCUUCUCUGCGUAAAAGCUAUCUGGAAAUUCUACAUAAGAGUUUUUCAGGUGUUGCAGUGUUUUCUGUUUUAUCUAUUGUCGGUCAAAGUUGAGGUAAUUUUAUAUUAAAUAAUCAUAGACUAAUGCACUUAUAUCAACAAGGCCAUCUAUGAAAUCGUAAUGAUGUGAGAUGUCAUAAGUGAUUUCUCUAAUGGCUUGGGUUUAAUUCCUUGAGUUUCCUCUCAUACAACACAUAGAUUAUAUCCAUUGCAUUACCUGUUUACUCGUAAUCCAUGAUAGUGUGAGUUUUUCGGUUUGAGGUGUCUGCAUGAGAACAAUAGUGUGACUGUUUUCCAUUUUAGAAUGACUAAGGAUUGAGCCUGUAUUUGCUGAAAUUUUGAAGAAGCGAAUCAGAAACACUGUUUAGGUGGCUGCAGUGGCGUCUUUGCUGGCAAUAGAAUUGUUUAAAAGAUUACAGCCUUAGCGAAUCAGAAACUCUGUUUAGGCGGCUGCAAUGGCGUCUUCUCUGCUUGUUAAUACUUUUGGAUAACCCUUGGUGAAUUUCGGUGUACUUUUGUGAAGAUUGAAGCUGCAAGUUUAGAAGAUGCAAGAUUAGAAGAUGCACAAGACCAUUAAUAAUUUGCUCGGGAUAUUGUUAAUUUGCUAACCUUUUUUUUUGUCAAACAAAUAUUGAAACUUACACUAUGGGAUAGAAAUCUUAUAUUUAUCGAUAAAGCUUAUAUUAUUUUUGUGAAAUGAAAUUCCAGAAGUACAGAUGGUCAGUUAGAGACUAAAA